rnacentral:misc_RNA from 1 species
UCUCCGUAGGUGAACCUGCGGAGGGAUCAUUACCGAGUGAGGGUUCCGGCCCGACCUCCAACCCUUUGUGAAUUCGACCCAGUUGCCUCGGGGGCGACCCUGCCUUUCGGGCAGUGCGCCCCCGGAGGAUAUCAAAACUGCAUCUUUGCGUCGGAGUAUCAAUCAAAUUGAACAAAACUUUCAACAACGGAUCUCUUGGUUCUGGCAUCGAUGAAGAACGCAGC